rnacentral:rRNA from 1 species
GACGAACGCUGGAGGCGUGCUUAACACAUGCAAGUCGAACGAAGUGGCGAACGGGUGAGUAACGCGUAAUCAAACUGCCCUUCAGAGGGGGACAACAGUUGGAAACGACUGCUAAUACCGCAUAAUGAAGGAGGGGAUUGAGUCGGAUUAGCUAGUUGGGGGGGUAACGGCCCACCAGGGCGAGGAGCAGUAGCCGGGCUGGGAGAAUGCACGGCCACAGUGGGACUGAUACACGGCCCAGGCUCCUACGGGAGGCAGCAGUGGGGAAGCUUCCGAAAUGGACGAAAGUCUGACGGAGCAACGCCGCGUGAGUGAUGACGGCCUUCGGGUUGUAAAGCUCUGUUAAUCGGGACGCGGUACCGGAAUAGAAAGCCACGGCUAACUACGUGCCAGCCGCCGCGGUAAUAC